GCUUGUCUCAAAGAUUAAGCCAUGCAUGUCUCAGUACAAGCCAAAUUAAGGUGAAACCGCGAAAGGCUCAUUAAAUCAGUUAUGGUUCCUUAGAUCGUACCCACAAUUACUUGGAUAACUGUGGUAAUUCUAGAGCUAAUACAUGCAAACAGAGCUCCGACCGGAGACGGGAGGAGUGCUUUUAUUAGAUCAAAACCAAUCGGUGGCGGGCUCGUCAUCGUACAACUUGGUGACUCUGAAUAACUUUACGCUGAUCGCACGGUCAUCGCACCGGCGACGCAUCUUUCAAAUGUCUGCCUUAUCAACUGUCGAUGGUAGGUUCUGCGCCUACCAUGGUUGUAACGGGUAACGGGGAAUCAGGGUUCGAUUCCGGAGAGGGAGCCUGAGAAACGGCUACCACAUCCAAGGAAGGCAGCAGGCGCGCAAAUUACCCACUCCCGGCACGGGGAGGUAGUGACGAAAAAUAACGAUACGGGACUCAUCCGAGGCCCCGUAAUCGGAAUGAGUACACUCUAAACCCUUUAACGAGGAUCAAUUGGAGGGCAAGUCUGGUGCCAGCAGCCGCGGUA
rnacentral:rRNA from 1 species